rnacentral:rRNA from 1 species
UACAGAGGUCUCGAGCGUUAAUCGGAAUCACUGGGCUUAAAGGGUGCGUAGGCGGCGCGGCAAGUGCUUUGUGAAAUCCCACGGCUCAACCGUGGAAUUGCUUGGCAGACUGCCGUGCUUGAGGUCGGUAGGGGUCGCCGGAACUCUAGGUGGAGCGGUGAAAUGCGUAGAUAUCUAGAGGAACGCCAAAGGUGAAGACAGGCGACUGGGCCGAUUCUGACGCUGAGGCACGAAAGCGUGGGGAGCGAACGGG